GCCUAGCCCAGAUGGAAGCGGCAUCCUUUUUUGACCCGUUUUUACGGGACAAAAAAGAUAUAGCGCACAGCUGGAAAAAGC
rnacentral:sRNA from 1 species